rnacentral:lncRNA from 1 species
GCUGUGUUUACAUACAGAUGAGAAAAUAUCCAGUAAUCCUUCUUUAAAGAAAAUCUGGGCCUAUGUCCGGGCACGGUGGCUCAUGCCUGUAAUCCCAGCACUUUGGGAGGCCAAGGCGGGAAGAUGGCUUGAGCCCAGGAGUUCAACACCAGCUUGGGCAACAUGGUAAAACCACAUCCCUACAAAAAAUACAAAAAAAAUUAGCCAGGCAUGGUGGUGCACACCUGUAGUUUCAGCUACUGGUGGGAGUGGUGGGGAUGCUGAAGUGGGAGGAUCGCUUGAGGCUGGGGGUUAAGGCUGCAGUGAGCUGUGAUCCCGCCACUGCAUUCCAGCCUGGAUGACAGAGGGAGACCUUGUAUCAAAACAAAGAAAGUUGUAAGGAGUCUUUAUUCUGGAUGUAGCAUAUGGUUUGCAAAAUUUUCUCCCAGCCUAUAGGAUAUUUAAUUUUCUUAACUAUGAGAUAGUUAAUAUUCUUAACUGUCUUUUAAAGAGAAAAAGUUUUAAUUUUGUUGAGAUCCAAUUUAUCUAUUUUUUCUUUUAUGGUUUAUAUUUUUUGCUUCCUCUCCAAGAAAUCUUUGCUUAAGUCAAAGUCACAAAUAUUUUUUUCCCUAUGUUUUCUUCUAGAAACUUUAAAGAUUAACUCAUACAUUUAGGUUUAUGAUCGCUUUUUUUCCAAGUUAAUUUUUGUGUAUGGUGCAAGUUAAGGGUUGAGGUUUUGUUUUUGCACGUGGAUAUAAAUCAUUUGCUGAAGAGACUGUCUUUUCCCUUUCACAUCAGUACCUUUGUAUAAAAUUAACUGAUUAUGUGUAUGGGCUGGUUUCUGGACCCUCUAUUCUGUUCAUGAAUUUUUGUCUAACCUAAUUUCAAUAUUGCACUCUCUUGAUUUUUGUAGUUUUAUAGUAAAUCUUGAAAUCAGGUAGUGUAAGUCCUCUAACUUUAUUCACGUAUGUUAAAACUAUUUGGCCAUUCUAGCUUCUUCGCAUUUCUAAAGAACUUUUUAAUCUGCACCAAAAGAAGUAAAAAGUCUGCGUUAAUUUUUAUUGAGAUAGCAUUGGCUUAAUAGAUCAGCCUGGAAAUAAUUGAUAUCAUUAACAAUGUUGAGUCCUCCAAUCCAUAAACAUGGCAUAUCUCUCCAUUUAUUUAGAUCUGCUUUAAUUUUACUCAGUAAUAUUUUGUAGUUUUCAAUGUACAGUUCUUGCACAUAUUUUGUUAAAAUUAUCCCUACUUCUUUCACAUUUUUUGAUGCUAUUGUAUUUAAACAAUGGUAUUUUAUUUCAAUUUCCAAUCUUUUGUUAUUAAAAUGUAAAAUACAAUUGAUAUUUUAUAUUGACCUUGUAUCCUGAGACCUUGCUAAGCUUACUACUUCUACUAUCCUUUUUUAUAGCCUCCCUGGGAUUUUCCAUAUAUACAGUAUGUCAUCCAUAAAUAAAUAAAAUUUUGUUUCUUUCAAAUAGGUAUGCUUUUUUUUCUUUUCUUAUGCACUGACUAGAACUUGCAAUUGAAUACAGAAGUGUUGCAGCUCACCUAAUUUUAAAGGAAAUGUACUUAUUUCUUGAAUAAGUUUAACAAAUAUUUUUCAAUAUUUAUAAACAAUAGUUUGGCCAAUUUAGCUAUAAAACAGUAGGGGAGGAUGGGCACGGUGGCUC